CUUUCCGUCGACUGUUCUGGAAGUUCUUAACCAGUUUGGUCUGUGACGUCCAUCAAAGCUUCAACUGUCAAAAAUAGGAAGUAGAAAAUGAAUCCAGGGAAUUUGAUUUUUAAAGAAUUUAUUUGUAUUGACCUUAUUCCUAGCCCCCAUGAGCCUUUGCGUGAAUUAUGGGUGAAACUUCCAGUAGACGCUGGAACCUGCAUGUAUUUACAUUACAACUGUAGAGCCGACAGCGCAAUUCCUUUUGUUUUAGAUCUAUAACUACAUAUAAAUGUGGAAAAACCAGCUGUCGUGUCUUAAAAGAGGCGACGUAACAACUCCGGUGCUAAAAUUGAGGGAUUGGAGGAUGACCUUAAAAAACAUAACAUAUAGUAGCAUUUUUAGCUACUGUUUUUAACUACUGUUUUUAGCUACUUUCUCAAUUCAGCUGCGGCAGGUGGUGAAGCUAUGAACAAUCUUAAAAGUUCACAUCAUAAUUCUUUAUGCAUAUUUGUGCUGAACGUUCACAUCAUAAUUCUUUAUUUCUACCUAUUUCUGCCAGAGUUAGCACACAGUGCUGAUCAAUUGUAACGUUCUCUCUUCACGUGCUUGUGUUUACAUGCUGCGAUGAGGGAUGCAUCGCGGUGAAGCUUUUGCCCGUUUCAUGUUUUGACAAAGUCAGCUGCGGUUUAAACAGGUAAUUUUGGAAUAGCUGAUACCAGGAGAUGCAGCGAUUACACACCAAAUAUCUUUUCUGCUUUAGUGACACUGCUGUCAGCAGCGCGGUUAAGCUAGUUUCAUAUUCGACAUUCGUCACACAUUCAGUAAUGAACGGCAAUAUUUCUCAAUCACCUUUGCUAAAAAAAAAAAAAA